AUCAUGUUUCAUCUUCAGAAUAUCGUUGCCUUCAUGAUAAUCUCUGCCUCUAUUUGUCAGGCUCAAGCUGGUGGUCAACGGGCUUCAUCAGAUACAGCUAAAGUCACAUUACAGCCGUGGCUGGUGGGACUGACAGCCGUUGUUGUUUUUCUCUUUAUUGUCUUCGUCCUCCUCAUCAUGAAAAGACUCUUUUUCAAGAAAGACAGAGAUGAGCUAGAAGAAAGACAUUCAUUUUAUGAAAACAAAGCAGCUGAUCUGGAGGCAAAUGAGGAGACCAAGCAGACCACUUUCUAAUGAGAAGAACAGAUGAUCACAGUCCUGCAGCACACAAAUCUUUCUCUCUCUGGAAAUUAUACCACAACUUUGUGCAGUCAUUCUUAUCUAAUUUUAUACUAUCUUAUGUAAUAUAUCUUUUUAACUUAUUAAUUUUGGUCAAAGUUUUGUUUUUGUCUUCAUAAGUGUUGUUCCUCACAUCAUCACCUAGUCACAGCUUUAAACUAAAGUUAAAAUAAAAAAGGGUUAAAAUAAAGUGGUUCUCUCUCUCUCUCUCUCUCUCUCUC
ensembl:lncRNA